UAAUGCUUUUGUGCCAUGAAU
ensembl:piRNA 21ur-1346 ncRNA